ensembl:lncRNA
UGAAUGUCUUUAGUUUACUCCUACGCGCGUGCCCGCAGGGGGCGUGGCCUGUCCGUUAAUUGGCUUGGCGGGAACCAGGUGCGGCGCGGAGGAGGCGAAGGGCCGCUCCGGAGUCCCGCCGCCCGCUCCUCCACCCUCCUGCUACUGACGUAGUUUAACGUUUGAGAUUCCUUUUUGCUGCACAUCAUCACGGACAACAUUAGUAACUACAAUGUGAGCGAAGACGACACGGAGACGGACUGAACAAAGCGACCUGCACUGAGACGCCUUGGGCUGAUCCCUUGGUCUGAUGGCUCCCAGCAGGAGGGGAGGACUCAGGAUGCAGCAUAAUAGGAUGCUGUAGUCACAGGACUGCUUUGGAUAAAGUGCAUAUGUGUCAGUCACAUAUUUGUUUUUUAACCUCAGCCAAUAAAAUAUAAAUUUUCUCAUCAAUCAUGAAUACGGUUUGUGCAUAAAAUUAUAAGUAACAUUGUAUUUUGUGUAUUCCUCCUUCUUAUGCUGUGUUUUUAUGUAACCGGAGUCAAAUCCACGUAUGCAUAAUCGUACAUGACGAAUAAAGCUGAUUCUGAAAAUGGGAAUAAUACCUCACCUUUUUAAUUUUUACCCUUUUAAAAAUAUUAGUAUAACAC